rnacentral:lncRNA from 1 species
GGGUGAAGGGGAUCACGGCCUGGGGAUUGGAGGGGCACAUCUUCUCCGCACCGAGGAUCUCAGCGACUGCGAGCACGGCUCGGAGACCCACGGUGGUGCAGCGUUGGGGCGCCAGGGCUGCGUUCCCGUCUCGCGUCCCGGACUGAGAAGAGCCACUGACAAGACUUUAAGCAAGAGACGGAGAGUUAACAUCUAAUCUGGAGGAAGACCCUGGAAGGAGCCAGCCCCUUCCCCCAGGCUGACCUGGUUUAAGCCUUUCUUCUGCCAAGGUCACCAGCACCCCAGAUGGGUGAGAGAUGUGAUCACUGGUUUCGUGGCCUGACCAAGGACCUCCAAGGUGAGUCAAAGCAGAAUUCUCCUUGGGCAUGCAGGGAAAAUGAUCCAUUCCCUGCACACUGCCAUAUUCUCCUUCUCAGACAGACCAG